rnacentral:snRNA from 1 species
GCACUCACUCUGGCAGCACAUAUACUAAAAUUGGAACAAUACAGGGAAGAUUAGCAUGGACCCUGAACAAGAAUGACAUAUAAAUUUGUACAGCAUUUCAAUUUCUA